rnacentral:rRNA from 1 species
AUUGAACGCUGGCGGAAUGCUUUACACAUGCAAGUCGAGCGGCAGCACGGGGGCAACCCUGGUGGCGAGCGGCGAACGGGUGAGUAAUACAUCGGAACAUGCCCAGUCGUGGGGGAUAACACUUCGAAAGAAGUGCUAAUACCGCAUACGUCCUGAGGGAGAAAGCGGGGGAUCUUCGGACCCCGCGCGAUUGGAGUGGCCGAUGUCAGUUUAGCUAGUUGGUGGGGUAAAGGCCUACCAAGGCAACGAUCUGUAGCUGGUCUGAGAGGAUGAUCGGCCACACUGGGACUGAGACACGGCCCAGACUCCUACGGGAGGCAGCAGUGGGGAAUUUUGGACAAUGGGGGCAACCCUGAUCCAGCCAUUCCGCGUGAGUGAAGAAGGCCUUCGGGUUGUAAAGCUCUUUCGGCAGGAACGAAACGGCGAGCUCUAACAUAGCUUGCUAAUGACGGUACCUGAAGAAGAAGCACCGGCUAACUACGUGCCAGCAGCCGCUGUAAGAC